rnacentral:rRNA from 1 species
AUACGUAGGUGGCGAGCGUUAUCCGGAAUUACUGGGUGUAAAGGGUGUGUAGGCGGGAAGGCAAGUCGGAUGUGAAAAUUAUGGGCUCAACCCAUAAAGUGCGACCGAAACUGUUUUUCUUGAGGAUCGGAGAGGUAAUGAGAAUUCCCGGUGUAGCGGGGAAAUGCGCAGAGAUCGGGAGGAAUACCGGUGGCGAAGGCGAAUUACUGGACGAUAACUGACGCUGAGACACGAAAGCGUGGGGAGCAAACAGGAUUAGAUACCCUGGUAGUCCACGCCCUAAACGAUGAAUGCUAGGUGUAGGGGAGUCAUCUACUGUGCCGCAGCUAACGCAAUAAGCAUUCCACCUGGGGAGUACGGCCGCAAGGUUGAAACUCAAAUGAAUUGGCGGGG